CGCACAUCGCGCCCUUUGGCAUUCCGGGGGGCACGCCUGUUCGAGCGUCAUUGAAAUCGAUCGAGCCCGGCUCGGUGUUGGGCCUUCUCCCCCGGGAGUGCCCGAAAGCCAGCGGCGCGGGCGUCGGGAGCAGGGUGUAAUGGAACCUCAUUCUUCGCUCCGGGCGUCCGCCGCCCCCGACGGAAUUCUCUUCCACCGUUGAAUCUGACCUCGGAUCAGGCGGGGAUACCCGCUGAACUUAA
rnacentral:misc_RNA from 1 species